GAUGAACGCUGACAGAAUGCUUAACACAUGCAAGUUCUUGGCAAAGCUGUGCUUGCACAGCCAAGCCAAGGCGGACGGGUGAGUAACGCGUAAAGAACUUGCCCCGCAGACAGGGAUAACAGACGGAAACGACUGAUAAAACCUGACAUGAUUGCCGGUACGCAUGUGCCUGGCAAUGAAAAGAGAUGCUGCGGGAGAGCUUUGCGUCCUAUUAGCUGGUUGGCGGGGUAACGGCCCACCAAGGCGAUGAUAGGUAGCCGGCCUGAGAGGGUGAACGGCCACAAGGGGACUGAGAUACGGCCCUUACUCCCUACGGGAGGCAGCAGUGGGGAAUAUUGGACAAUGGGGGCAACCCUGAUCCAGCAAUUCUGUGUGCACGAAGAAGGUUUUCGAAUUGUAAAGUGCUUUCAGCAGGGAAGAAGAGAAUGACGGU
rnacentral:rRNA from 1 species